rnacentral:rRNA from 1 species
CCUUAGAGUUUGAUCCUGGCUCAGGACGAACGCUGGCGGCGCGCCUAACACAUGCAAGUCGAACGAGCGAGAGAGAGCUUGCUUUCUCGAGCGAGUGGCGAACGGGUGAGUAACGCGUGAGGAACCUGCCUCAAAGAGGGGGACAACAGUUGGAAACGACUGCUAAUACCGCAUAAGCCCACGGCUCGGCAUCGAGCAGAGGGAAAAGGAGCAAUCCGCUUUGAGAUGGCCUCGCGUCCGAUUAGCUAGUUGGUGAGGUAACGGCCCACCAAGGCGACGAUCGGUAGCCGGACUGAGAGGUUGAACGGCCACAUUGGGACUGAGACACGGCCCAGACUCCUACGGGAGGCAGCAGUGGGGAAUAUUGCACAAUGGGGGAAACCCUGAUGCAGCGACGCCGCGUGGAGGAAGAAGGUCUUCGGAUUGUAAACUCCUGUUGUUGGGGAAGAUAAUGACGGUACCCAACAAGGAAGUGACGGCUAACUACGUGCCAGCAGCCGCGGUAAAACGUAGGUCACAAGCGUUGUCCGGAAUUACUGGGUGUAAAGGGAGCGCAGGCGGGAAGACAAGUUGGAAGUGAAAUCUAUGGGCUCAACCCAUAAACUGCUUUCAAAACUGUUUUUCUUGAGUAGUGCAGAGGUAGGCGGAAUUCCCGGUGUAGCGGUGGAAUGCGUAGAUAUCGGGAGGAACACCAGUGGCGAAGGCGGCCUACUGGGCACCAACUGACGCUGAGGCUCGAAAGUGUGGGUAGCAAACAGGAUUAGAUACCCUGGUAGUCCACACCGUAAACGAUGAAACUAGGUGUUGGAGGAUUGACCCCUUCAGUGCCGCAGUUAACACCAAUAAGUAAUCCACCUGGGGAGUACGACCGCAAGGUUGAAACUCAAAGGAAUUGACGGGGGGCCCGCACAAGCAGUGGAGUAUGUGGUUUAAUUCGACGCAACGCGAAGAACCUUACCAAGUCUUGACAUCCUGCGACGGUUCUGGAAACAGAACUUUCCUUCGGGACGCAGAGACAGGUGGUGCAUGGUUGUCGUCAGCUCGUGUCGUGAGAUGUUGGGUUAAGUCCCGCAACGAGCGCAACCCUUAUGGUCAGUUACUACGCAAGAGGACUCUGGCCAGACUGCCGUUGACAAAACGGAGGAAGGUGGGGAUGACGUCAAAUCAUCAUGCCCUUUAUGACUUGGGCUACACACGUACUACAAUGGCGUUAAACAAAGAGAAGCAAGACCGCGAGGUGGAGCAAAACUCAGAAACAACGUCCCAGUUCGGACUGCAGGCUGCAACUCGCCUGCACGAAGUCGGAAUUGCUAGUAAUCGCAGAUCAGCAUGCUGCGGUGAAUACGUUCCCGGGCCUUGCACACACCGCCCGUCA